rnacentral:rRNA from 1 species
CAAGUCGGACGAGAAGUGGGGGCAACCCUGCGAGUACAGUGGCAGACGGGUGAGUAACACGUGAACAACCUACCCUUGAGUGGGGAAUAACACCGCGAAAGCGGUGCUAAUACCGCAUAAAAUCUUUUAUUCGCAUGGAUGAGAGAUCAAAAGCGAGAGUUGCUUGAGGAGGGGUUCGCGGCUGAUUAGCUAGUUGGUGAGGUAACGGCCCACCAAGGCAACGAUCAGUAGCUGGCCUGAGAGGGCGAACGGCCACACUGGAACUGAGACACGGUCCAGACUCCUACGGGAGGCAGCAGUGGGGAAUUUUGCGCAAUGGGCGAAAGCCUGACGCAGCAACGCCGCGUGGAGGAUGAAGGCCUUCGGGUCGUAAACUCCUGUCUAUGGGGACGAAAGCCUAGCAAUAGGAUUGACUGUACCCGUUGAGGAAGCCACGGCUAACUCCGUGCCAGCAGCCGCGGU